AAAUAGAACUUUGCAGAGAGAGUUAACAGGGCGUGAAACCGUUAAUUGAGAAACGAAUCGGAGCCACGAAGUCGUUUCGCUGUUUAGUUGGGCCAGGUUCAGUUUGUGAGCAAAAACUCAUAGGCGUAUUCUUGGGUCCGGCCUAACCUUGUAAGCGUACACUGCAACCAGUUAGACGAUUGGCCAUGGGCCCAGUUGUAUCGUCGGGUAACCGGCGGUUUAACGAAGCAUUUGUUUGCUUGGACUAGUAGUAGCGCUGUGCAUUUCGGUGCAUUUGUGUUGCUUAUUCCAGGUAAGUGAGCUAUGGCCAAAUACUGACUGGCAAAAUGAGAAUCGCGCUAUGCGCGUUCUAAACAAUGCAACUAGCUGUAUUGGUGUCUACACAGACGACUAGUUGGUCUAAGCUCAGCGUCUUUGAAUUUGGACUUGCUUGCUACCAGUGGGGCAACUCCUGGUGCUUGUAUAGCUUUCAUCUAAUCGGGCGUUGACUUGGCCGGCUAUUGUUCGGUUGUGAAUCGUUUGGAUACUAAUGCAAGUUGGCUCGCAAUGAUUGGCAGUGAGUAGGUCGGCUUUCCGAACGACCCGUCUUGAAACACGGACCAAGGAGUCUAAUUAGGCAUCGAGUCGAUCGGUCUUGAUAGGCCAGACUGAUACGAGCAAUCGUGUCGAUUGAAGGCGUAGAGAAAUCAAAUCGUGUGAUCAUGCAAGCAAUACCAGCUUACAUGCGCAACAUGUGCCUGUUCGUAUAGCAAUGUUAGCAAUAACUUGCUGAGCGGAGCAAAGAGAUGCCUGAUUGGUACCCGAAAGAUGGUGAACUAUGCUUGGGCAAAUUGAAGCCAGAGGAAACUCUGGUGGAGGAUUGUAGCGAUUCUGACGUGCAAAUCGAUCGUCAGACCUGAGUAUAGGGGCGAAAGACUAAUCGAACCAUC
rnacentral:rRNA from 1 species